rnacentral:lncRNA from 1 species
AAAUAAACAUGACAAAUGCCAGGAAGUUAAUUGUUGGAAGUUAUUAUCGACCUCCAUCUGAUAAUGGCACAUCCAUUGAGCAGCUUAAAAUCUCAUUAGAUCGCAUAAACCAAAAUACAAAAUCUACAAUCAUUCUUGGUGGCGACUUUAAUCUUGGGCACAUAAACUGGGAUAUUCCAUGCACCAUCCCGAGUAAACCAGACAUUAAGCUACAUGAACAACUCCUAAACAUUAUAAAUGAACAUUCACUUGAGCAGAUUGUAAAAAAGCCCACUAGGGGAGACAGAACACUUGAUCUCAUUCUCACCAACAUACCAAGCAUAGUCAACAAAGUGGAGACUAUGCCUCCUAUAGGAAAUGCAGACCAUGAUAUCGUCUAUGCAGAAUGUGCACUAUCUCUCAAACGCAACAAGAAAAUGCCAAGAAAAACCUACCAGUACAGAAAAGCUAACUGGGAAAACAUCAAACUAGAUGUGAACAAACUCACACAAGAAAUCAAAAGUCAUUACCAUAGUUCAUCUACUGAUGAACUAUGGAAUACAUUUACAGAAAGACUACUUCAAUCAGUCAAGAAAAACAUCCCCCAGAAAACAAUCACA